rnacentral:lncRNA from 1 species
GUGGCUUGAAUCCAAAAAAUAAAUUAUAAAACAAAGAAUUCAUUUUGACGUUUGCAGUUAUAAAAUUGAGAACGUCCUAAACAUGUUUUCAAACGAAUUACAAAUUAAAUUAAAAAAUAAAUCCCAAAACAAAAUCUAAAAGUUAUCUUCCUCCCCCAAAAUCUUAUCCCCUCCCUCUGGUUAUCUCGUCACAGCUCUCCCUUCGUGGUUGAAACCUCUCCUUCGACCACAAUCCACUUGGAUCGUGCACAAAUCUCUCUCUCUCCUUCCUCUUUAUCUCGGUCUACUUCACAGCUCUCUCCCCUCGGUGGCUGUUACUCGUUCAUCGACCGCAAUCCACCGUCACAACUCUCUCUCUCUGUGCCCUAAAUUGGCUGCUGUUCCAUCUCUGUUGCUACUGUUGCCCCGUCUCCGCUGUUGCUACUUCGUCUCUGCCCAGUCUCGACUAUUGCUUCUGCUGCUCUUUGCUUCAUUUAUGCUCCAUCUCUGCUCGCUUGUACUAGUCUUCAAUUUUUUGAUUUGAGUAAAUUGUGAGUGUUGUUUUUUUUGUUUAUUUUAAACCCAAAUCAUAUUCGUUCAAUUUUUUAGACAAAUAGAAUGUUUGUCUCUUGAGCUCUGCAUUUGUAUCUUAUUUAAGGAUUGUUAGAAAAAGAACGAUUUGAUGUUGGCUGGAUUUGUGAGAAACGAAACACAUAUCUAUUUAGAUGCCCAUAUGAGAAAUAUGAGAAUAAAAGAAAUUAGGAUACCUAUCCAAUGAGUUAAAUUCUGUGCUUGGUGGCUCAAUGAAAGUAGUUCAAAUUGAAAUUUGAUUGGAAAGCCUUUUAUGAGAAUUGUGCGACAAAGGAAAGAACCUUUUUCCUAGAGUUUUUAUUAUUUUUUUGACUCAAAAGUCCUUAGAUCCUAAUUCUUAUUUCUUGUAUGAGCUCUCUUACUUAUAUUCGCAUUGACUACAAUCGUAUGAAUUUGAUUGAGAAGUGUUUGGUCAUAUGAAAAAAUAAUUAUAAUAAUAAAAGCAAAAUAAUCUGCUCAAUUAUUAUAAUAAAUGGUGUGCAAAAUUCUGUUUGUUCUUGUGCAUCUGUGCAUUCAUGUGUCGAAUUUGAAUUAGCAAUUCAAAAUGAUAGCUUGUUAACAAAAUUAUGUUUGUUUAGCUGGGUGAAUAACCCUCACUAGAUUACUACUUUACUUGCUUAGAUAGGUCACACAUUUGAACUUCCUUAUUGAAAAUAUACUACUGGUCACCAAAUUGAUUAUUUGACACCGCUUGCUGUUCGCUUAAACCCUCUUUUAAAUCCCUCAAAGAAAGCCGCCCAGAGCACCUUUAAAAACCCUAAAAUAAUGACAAUAUUAUCAAUUAGCUUUUAAAUUAUUAAUGAAUCAGUUGAAACAUAUUUAAAAAUAUUUUUACAUCUAGGCAAAAUAAAAUCAGCAAUAAUAAAACUUGACAAACAACAUUUCACUAAAAAUAAUAGAGAUUCAAUUCAAAUUUAAUUAAUAAAUUAAUUUAUAAUUUAAAAUGACACAAUAUUAAUUAAUAAUAAAAAUAUUCAAUAUUAAUUAAUAAUAAAAAUUCUAUUUAAUUGAAAUGAAUUUAAUGUUGUAUAAUAGUACAAGGUAAAUUCGCGUUUAUUACUUAUAUUUCGAUUUAAGUGUACUUAAUCUCUACAUUUUUUAAAACACCUUAAGACAACCUUAUUCUUAAGUAUAUAAUACUCUUACCCUUACUUUUUCUUUGAUUUUACAAUAUUACCUUUAUUACAAUAUUCUUGAAAUUAAUCAAUUUAUCUAUUGUUAAUUAGUAGAUUAACCAAUAAAUGUCUAUCUAAAAGAACUAGUAUUUUUUGUGUCCUUGCAAUGAUUUUGCUAAUUAUUAAUUUAUUAUUUAUAAAUAAAUUAAUAUCAGUCAGCUUCAAGCAAUGUUUAAUAUCCUUACAAUAAUUAUUUUAUAAACAAAUUAAUUUACAAAAUUAAUCCUCAAAGAACAAUAAUAACAAAAAAAUCUACUCUAAUUUCUAUUUUCUUUUAAUGUUGAUUUAGUAAGUUAACACUUUUUCAUUAAUAUCCCCAAAAAAAUUAUUGCAAGGAUAUAUUGUAAAAGUAAAUAAAAAUAAGGGUAGGAAUAUAACAUGUUUAAUAGCAGGUUGUCUUGAGUUUUUUUUUUUAAUAUAGAGAUUAAACGACUAAUUAACUCAAAAUAUAAGUAUUAAAUGAGUAUUUACUCGUAGUGUAAUUCAAAUAAAAUUUACAUUGUAGUUCUUGUGGACAUUUUGAUGUAUCGUGCUUUAGCCCAUCUAACAUCGUGACACCCUAAAAAUCUAGACCGAUCUGAUCUGUCUAUAGGCCAUGCUAUAUCAAGUGCCUUAAACGAAGCAUGCUCAUCCCGUGUCGUGCUAUACGGAUGCGUGUCUUGUUCCGCUGCAUAUCUUAUUGCACAUCUUUAGUUUUAUAAUGCUAAGCAAAUAUUAGACUCAAGAAUACAAUGGGUUGAGCUAUUUACAUUUUGCAGUGUCCAUUUUCUUAUUUCAUAGGUCAGGUUAUGUUUGCAUCUACGACUUUUAUAAUAAGUCAUUAUCUUACAACAAGCAUAGAGUUUUGAAUAUGUAGUAUGAUUUCAUUGAAUGUAAUAUGUAUUAUAAAGGCUCUCAAAAUUUUAUAGUAAUUUAGCUCCUUUUUAGUAACAAGGUGUUGUGCUUGUUAUGCUAUAUUGUCAAACUAUGAUCGCAUGAUAAAACAAUAAUAUUUUUGUAAAUUUAUUAAAUUAAUAUUAUUAAAAAAUGAAUUAAAUAAAGAAAAGAAAAAUAGUUGGGAUGUGGUGUUGUAAGAUGUUGCUUCAUAACCAAAUUUCCUUUAACUACAACAAUUAUAGAUUUGCUUCAAACAUAGCUUAUAGCAUUGCAUUUUUCAGCCGUUGUAAUAGUUGCUGUGUGUGUUAUUUGUAGAAUUAUAGGGCCCGUUUGGUACCGUUUUUUAGGCCUUAUUUUCGUUUUUGUUUUGGGAGUACAAACAUAACAUAUGUUUGGUGGCUUGAAUCCAAAAAAUAAAUUAUAAAACAAAGAAUUCAUUUUGACGUUUGCAGUUAUAAAAUUGAGAACGUCCUAAACAUGUUUUCAAACGAAUUACAAAUUAAAUUAAAAAAUAAAUCCCAAAACAAAAUCUAAAAGUUAUCUUCCUCCCCCAAAAUCUUAUCCCCUCCCUCUGGUUAUCUCGUCACAGCUCUCCCUUCGUGGUUGAAACCUCUCCUUCGACCACAAUCCACUUGGAUCGUGCACAAAUCUCUCUCUCUCCUUCCUCUUUAUCUCGGUCUACUUCACAGCUCUCUCCCCUCGGUGGCUGUUACUCGUUCAUCGACCGCAAUCCACCGUCACAACUCUCUCUCUCUGUGCCCUAAAUUGGCUGCUGUUCCAUCUCUGUUGCUACUGUUGCCCCGUCUCCGCUGUUGCUACUUCGUCUCUGCCCAGUCUCGACUAUUGCUUCUGCUGCUCUUUGCUUCAUUUAUGCUCCAUCUCUGCUCG